GCGUGCGUAGCUCAGUUGGUUAGAGCACCACCUUGACAUGGUGGGGGUCGGUGGUUCGAGUCCACUCGGACGCACCA
rnacentral:tRNA from 1 species